rnacentral:rRNA from 1 species
CAAGAGCGUAUAUUAAAGUUGUUGCAGUUAAAAAGCUCGUAGUUGGAUUUCUGGAGGGAGCGUCGGCCCGUAUUUACGAGUGCGUGACGUCUCUGUCCAUCCUUGCGGGAAGGCACGGCAUUGAUUUGUUGUGUCGGAUCGCAUCAUUUACUGUGAAAAAAUUAGAGUGUUCAAAGCAGGCUUUCGCUUGAAUACAUUAGCAUGGAAUAAUAAGAUAGGACUUUGGUGCUAUUUUGUUGGUUGAGCCUAAAGUAAUGAUUAAUAGGGAUAGUUGGGGGCACCUGUAUUGCGUUGUCAGAGGUGAAAUUCUUGGAUUUACGCAAGACAAACAGCUGCGAAAGCGUCUGCCAAGGAUGUUUUCAUUAA